rnacentral:lncRNA from 1 species
CUCCAAGUCCAGGAGCCACACAAGGGACACCUAGAAAGCAGGCAGUGCCUGGGAGCUGCAGAGGGAGGUGUUCUGCAGGCAGGCCUUAACGUUCAGGGCAAGCCAAGAGUCUCCCACAGGCUGGAGCCAGGACUUCCGGCCUUNCCAGCCGGCAGAGGUUCACAGCCCUCGAGUCCCAGCACUGAGUGGAGGGGCUCAGGUCUACCUACCCACUGGUCCCUCCCCCUAUCCUACCCACAGCCCAGUGCCUCCUGCUGGAAGCCCCUCUUGGCCAGAGUCCUCUCUUCCCACGGAGCUGGCUCAGCCUCUCUUUCCACCUCCCGGUGCAGUGAUGGCCUUGAAUUCUGACCCUUGCUUUUGGG